rnacentral:lncRNA from 1 species
UUGUGAAGCUCUGAAGUAGGGAGACUCUUAGUUACUCAGUAUAAAAUACUCUCACUAUGGGCAUGAUUGUUUUUCAUUUCUAGAUCAAGCAAGACCAGGUAUUUUCGUCUUAUUCCAGAUCUUAGGGGGAAAAAUCAUUCAGUCUUUCACAGUUAAGCAUAAUGAUUGCUAUAGAAUCUUUGUACAUGCUCUUUAUCAGGUUGGGGAAGUUUUCACUGAAUUCUUUUAAGAGAAAUUCAGAUUUGGAUUUCU